UACAGAGACUGCAGGCGUUAUUCGGAUUCACUGGGCGUAAAGGGUGCGCAGGCGGUUGGGUGUGUCAGAUGUGAAAUCCCGAGGCUCAACCUCGGAACUGCGUCUGAAACUACUCGACUAGAGUACUGGAGAGGGUAACGGAAUUCACGGUGUAGCAGUGAAAUGCGUAGAUAUCGUGAGGAACACCAGAGGCGAAGGCGGUUACCUGGACAGUUACUGACGCUCAGGCACGAAAGCAUGGGGAGCAAAAGGG
rnacentral:rRNA from 1 species